rnacentral:rRNA from 1 species
UAGCUAGUUGGUGAGGUAAAGGCUUACCAAGGUGACGAUCUGUAGCGGGUCUGAGAGGAUGAUCCGCCACACUGGAACUGAGACACGGUCCAGACUCCUACGGGAGGCAGCAGUGGGGAAUUUUGGACAAUGGGGGCAACCCUGAUCCAGCCAUGCCGCGUGAGUGAAGAAGGCCUUCGGGUUGUAAAGCUCUUUCGGCCGGGAAGAAAUCGCAUGGGCCAAUACCAUGUGUGGAUGACGGUACCGGAAUAAGAAGCACCGGCUAACUACGUGCCAGCAGCCGCGGUAAUACGUAGGGUGCGAGCGUUAAUCGGAAUUACUGGGCGUAAGGCGUGCGCAGGCGGUUUUGUAAGACAGGCGUGAAAUCCCCGGGCUUAACCUGGGAACUGCGUUUGUGACUGCAAGGCUAGAGUACGGCAGAGGGGGGUGGAAUUCCACGUGUAGCAGUGAAAUGCGUAGAGAUGUGGAGGAACACCAAUGGCGAAGGCAGCCCCCUGGGUCGAUACUGACGCUCAUGCACGAAAGCGUGGGUAGCAAACAGGAUUAGAUACCCUGGUAGUCCACGCCCUAAACUAUGUCAACUAGGUGUUGGGUGGGUAAAACCAUUUAGUACCGUAGCUAACGCGUGAAGUUGACCGCCUGGGGAGUACGGCCGCAAGGUUAAAACUCAAAGGAAUUGACGGGGACCCGCACAAGCGGUGGAUGAUGUGGAUUAAUUCGAUGCAACGCGAAAAACCUUACCUACCCUUGACAUGCCAGGAACUUGCCAGAGAUGGCUUGGUGCCCGAAAGGGAGCCUGGACACAGGUGCUGCAUGGCUGUCGUCAGCUCGUGUCGUGAGAUGUUGGGUUAAGUCCCGCAACGAGCGCAACCCUUGUCGUUAAUUGCCAUCAUUUAGUUGGGCACUUUAACGAGACUGCCGGUGACAAACCGGAGGAAGGUGGGGAUGACGUCAAGUCCUCAUGGCCCUUAUGGGUAGGGCUUCACACGUCAUACAAUGGUCGGUACAAAGGGUUGCCAAGCCGCGAGGCGGAGCCAAUCCCAGAAAGCCGAUCGUAGUCCGGAUUGCAGGCUGCAACUCGCCUGCAUGAAGUCGGAAUCGCUAGUAAUCGUGGACCAGCAUGUCACGGUGAAUACGUUCCCGGGUCUUGUACACACCGCCCGUCACACCAUGGGAGCGGGUUCCGCCAGAAGUAGGUAGCCUAACCGCAAGGGGGGCGCUUACCACGGCGGGGUUCGUGACUGGGGUGAAGUCGGAACAAGGUAGCCGUAGGGGAACCUGCGGCUG